AUCGUGUUACCUAUUUUAUACUAGAUCCAGGGCAUUGUAUUUUAUUUCCUUCACCAUCCCUAUUUAUGUCUCUUGGAUGCAGAUUCAUUGUACGCAUUGAUUUACUUAUUUGCUGUCUCCAACACAAGAUCAAAACACGAGUCUCUCUUCUUGAUUUUACAGCUUACCCAAUCACUCCUCAAGAUCCCAACACCGAUCUCUCUUCUUCUCCCCAUCUUUCUCCCCCCUUAUCGAGCCCCCACAACCACACGUGGCUUGUGUCAUUGACAUGCCUCUGGUGCCACCAUCAAUCUUGACUUUCCUCGCUCCGCCAUUCAAUGCCGGUGCCUAUGAAGGGUCAUGUCAUGCUCCAUUCACUCUCUCUCCCCUAUCACUUCAAUGUCAGUCGUCAUCCCUGCUUUCGUGUAGCUAUCUCUCUCCCUCUCUUGG
rnacentral:lncRNA from 1 species